GGCGAUGUAGCCUAAUUGGCAAGGUCGGCUCCACGGAAUGGAGGAGAUGCAGGUUCGAAUCCCGCCGGCGCCC